GUAUUUGUGGCCGAGUGGUUGAAGGCAACGGACUCAUAAUCCGUUUUCUUAUU
rnacentral:tRNA from 1 species